rnacentral:rRNA from 1 species
CGGGUGAGUAACGCGUGAGGAGCCUGCCUCAAAGAGGGGGACAACAGUUGGAAACGACUGCUAAUACCGCAUAAGCCCACGGCUCGGCAUCGAGCAGAGGGAAAAGGAGCAAUCCGCUUUGAGAUGGCCUCGCGUCCGAUUAGCUAGUUGGUGAGGUAACGGCCCACCAAGGCGACGAUCGGUAGCCGGACUGGGAGGUUGAACGGCCACAUUGGGACUGAGACACGGCCCAG